GCCCGAGUGGGGUAACUUGGAUAUCCUGAAGGCCUGCGGAGCCUAAGAUCCGGGUUCAAAUCCCGGCCCGGGCA
rfam:Picrophilus torridus DSM 9790, complete genome.